rnacentral:rRNA from 1 species
GUCUACAGCCAUACCACCCUGAACACGCCCAUUCCCAUCUGAUCUCCAAACCCAAGUAGGGCUGAGCCUGUUUAGCACUUGGAUGGGGGCCACCUGGGGAUACUGGGUGGGUUGAGC